GGCUGUGGCGAAUGGCUCUGCCCCCGGGGGGGUGACCCCUGCCCCGGCCCCACCGCCCGGGCUUUGUCCCCGCCGGCCGCCCCGUCCCUCCUCCCGCCCUUCCCCGCCCUCCGCCGGCUCUGCCUCAACUUUAGAGGCAGGUCCCGGAGGCUCCGGGAGCGGGACCGGCACCGGGCGGGGGCUGGCAGCCUCCUCCCCACCCCGGCAGCACGGAAAGGACGCGGACACCCGGAGCCGACGGCGACAGAGGAGAAAUCCCUGCAUCACUUCAAUCAACGUGGUUUUGGCAGCACCCACCAAAGGGGAUGGGGACAGGGACGGGGCGAAGCCAUGCCAGCGCGGGGGAGCAGCCAGGGCAGCAGGGAGACGACCACCACGCAGCACCCGAACCCUGGAAAUCAAAGGAACUCCACCAGGACCUGGUGUUAGGACUGAGCUUUCCAGCCCGGAGGAGGCUGCUCCUGCCGUGGGUUUGCAGCGGCAAAGUUGUGCCUGGCUCUCGGGGCUGGGCUGGGGUGGUGGCAUCCCUCCUCCACAAGCACGACACGUGCGGAGCUGAGCACGGGAAGUUACCUGCGCUCCCCCAAGGAUGCUCAAGACCCCAUCGCCCCUUGUGGAUGGGGAAGGGGGCUCUGCCAGCUGCACCCCACGGGCAGGGCGCCGGGACCCCCACCGGCGACUCGUGGGGACGAGGACACGGGUGAAGACGUGCCACCGCGUUCCCCGGGGACAGCGUGAGGGUCAGCCUCUUCGCAAGCGACCCGUCGUGAAGCACAGCUCUCGGUGAGGAAUUUUGGAGCAGGGACCCAGCUUUCGGCACGGCUCGGGGGGGGCUUAAAAUUUGCCGAAAAACACCAGGAACGGUUCAGGCAGCGAGGCAGGGGGGUGGUGGCACUGUCACCUCCUGGGCACCCAUGUCCUUGCUGUAGUAGGACCUUGGCAGUGCCCAUCCCGGGCUCACACCAGUUUCUCCCAUUAACAGGUG
rnacentral:lncRNA from 1 species